UGGAGCUGGUGGGAUUUGAACCCACGACCUCUUCGCUGCCAGCGAAGCGCGCUUCCCCUGCGCCACAGCCCC
rnacentral:tRNA from 1 species